rnacentral:rRNA from 1 species
GACGAACCGUGCGAACGUUUAUUCGGAAUCACUGGGCUUAAAGCGCGUGUAGGCGGAUGGGAACGUCGGUAGUUGAAAGCCCCCGGCUCAACCGGGGAAGUGGUGCCGAAACGACCCGUCUGGAGGGACGUAGGGGGACCUGGAACUUCCGGUGGAGCGGUGAAAUGCGUUGAGAUCGGAAGGAACGCCCGUGGCGAAAGCGAGGUCCUGGACGUC